AUAAUUGGGCUCUAAGAUAUGCACACAUCGCCCGUCGCUCUCGUGAUAAAUGAGAUAAGUCGUAACAUAGUAGAUGUAUUGGAAAAUGUAUCUAGAAAGUC
rnacentral:rRNA from 1 species